GAUGAACGCUGGCGGCGUGCUUAACACAUGCAAGUCGAACGAAGCACUUUAUUUGAUUUCCUUCGGGACUGAUUAUUUUGUGACUGAGUGGCGGACGGGUGAGUAACGCGUGGGUAACCUGCCUUGUACAGGGGGAUAACAGUUGGAAACGGCUGCUAAUACCGCAUAAGCGCACAGCAUCGCAUGAUGCAGUGUGAAAAACUCCGGUGGUAUAGAUGGACCCGCGUUGGAUUAGCUAGUUGGUGAGGUAGCGGCCCACCAAGGCGACGAUCCAUAGCCGACCUGAGAGGGUGACCGGCCACAUUGGGACUGAGACACGGCCCAAACUCCUACGGGAGGCAGCAGUGGGGAAUAUUGCACAAUGGGCGAAAGCCUGAUGCAGCGACGCCGCGUGAGCGAAGAAGUAUUUCGGUAUGUAAAGCUCUAUCAGCAGGGAAGAUAAUGACGGUACCUGACUAAGAAGCACCGGCUAAAUACGUG
rnacentral:rRNA from 1 species